UCAGUUUAUCUAUGGACAUAACCGGCUGACCGCUACAGCAGAUUAUGAGAGACUUCAUCAUGUGUUGUGUGAAGAAUGGCAAAGAAAGCUGGAAUCAUGGGAAAGAUAGCUAAGUUAUACCACUGACAACUUAGGAAGGAGAACUAUAAAAAUGACACACUAUUUCCUUACAGACAGAAAGAAUUUUGUGAAAAUAUUCAACUAGUUGUAAAUUUACAGCUAAUUGUUCAAUCAAGUUUUGGUACAAUGUUUUUUAUCUUUUAAUUUUUAAUUUCUUGUGAAGGCAAGGCAGGACAUUUUCAAAUGUAAACAUGUUUUGUAGUCAUUGAAUUUUAAAGAACGAAAAAAUAAAUGAUAUAUGAUUUGUAUAA